UUGAAUUUUUUGGUGACUUAAUGCUUCUCUUUUUCCAGGGUGGUGAAGAGGGGGUACCAUAUGCAUCACGAAUCAGGGGUUAUUUUUCUGGCUUUCACGAAUCACGAAUUUAAAAAAAGGCUUUCGCAAAUCAUGGUUUUAACUUUUGCUUUGCUCCUGUAUAAGAUUUUUAAAAUGUACAUAGGUCAACGCUGCGGUUGAUCCACUCCUCAGUUAAACUAACACACAACAGGACCGUAGCCAGGGGGGGUUCGGAAGAACCACCCCACUCGACUUGAAGGUCCACCCUGAUGAAGGAACAUUGAGUACCACUGCAAGCUGACGAGCUACCUAAGAGAAACUGGUCCAAUGGAAAGGAUGUUGUAACUUGCCCAGUAGACAAUGAGCAACUGAAACCCUCCCAAAUUUUUGCUGACAAGAAGACUGAUAGAAUUGCGCUAUCACUUAAGGUGAAGUGCAUGAAUGAUCCAUGUAAAUGGGAAGGAGAGUUGCAAGAGAAACAG